UCAUUUAGAAUAUAAAAAAGCACCACGCAGGACGUCCCAGAUUGCGCUGCCCGCAUGCCCAUGUAAUGUCUCGUCAGCUCAUUGUAAUGGACUCGUGUCUCAUCUCCAGUGAUGGACCACUCCAAUGCUAAUCUGAUGAAGAACUCUGUUAAAGGACAGAUCAUGGCUUACGUCUUGCUAUGUAUCUGCUAUCUGUAUCAUCUGUUGCUGAGAAGCUGAUUUUGAGGCCCCUGCAGGACUGUCUGGUAUACCUGGCGUUACCUGAGGGAACAGAACCCAAGAAGUGCCACAGAGGAAACAAGAAGUGACUUUGGUAAUACCCAGAGAAUCAGGUUUAAAAGAGGCCAUUGCUCUAGCAAAUUUAGAGUGGAAAUGAGCUCAGCUGGCAAGAAGAAUGAAAGGUAGAAGGAGUCAUCUAGGAGAGAUGAUUGACAGUCACGACACCACUGAUGUCACUUCCAGUUUCCACCCACCUGGACCCGCCUCUUCCUGCUAAGAGCCUUCAUCACUGUCAGCAACGCCAUCUUAGUCAGCCUAUCUUGGAGACUCGUAUUGUCACGUUUCUUUUUCUUUUUCAAAGUGCUAUACCUUAAUUGAAUAUACGGAGUUAACCUUCAUGGUGCCCCAUAGAGUUA